GCUCAUGCUGUUCUCUCUGGUUAUAAAUCCCUCCCUGUCUCCUCCUCUUAUCUCACUCAAAACCCAGCUGAGAUUUCAGCAUUUCCAUGCAGACUCCUCCCUUAUACCUGUUCUUCUUUCCGCACUUGGGACUCUGCCAGCACUUGGCAUUUAAUCAGCCACAGUGGAUUUAAGUGUUUCACUUGUGAGUGGCUUAUCUCCCACAUUACACUAGAUAUUCCUUGAGGGCACUGACCAGCCUCCUGCAUCCGUCCGUCAGCUUGGCCCAGCCACAGCUCUGUCUCUUCUUGGUGAGUGGCUCUGGGCACUUGCCCCUUCCCAUCACUGUGCCUAAUCCCUCUCCUGUACACGGUGGGGACCACUGGAGGAGCUCUGGAGACUCCCUCUUGUGAACAUUAGGACUCCAAAAUGGUCCCCAGCUUGCUUCAGAGAGCUCACAGCCAAGAUGACAAGUGAGACCAUCAACCAUCAGUCCACUACCACCCUCAUAUCAUUGUUUUAUAUGUAUGAGAACCACCAUCAUCAUGGCAGUUACCUCCAAUUCAGCACCUUUUACAGAUCAUCACCAGGUAAUUCUACAUGCACUACCUCAUUUAUUCCUCAAAACAUCCUGAAGAAGGGGAAUUAUCCUUCACUGAUAUUCUCCAAGUGCCUGGGGCAGUGUGUGGCACAUUACAGAGGGUAACUAAAUUUUAAUUGAAUGACUUUGUUACAGGCAGUUAGACAGGCACAAGCCGCGCAGGAGAGGGCUCUCCCACCAUCCACUAGGAAUGUUGGGUGAUGGUUUGGUAAUGAUCACAUUCCCUCUCUAAAAUUUAUAAACUCGCAGCCAACACCAGAGACAGAGAUCAUUUCCUGAUGAUCCACACCUUUUGCACCAAAGUGUUAAUUGAAUGCAGGUGCCGGGGGAGACUGAGGCAGAAGAAUCGCUUGAACCCAGAAGGUGGAGGUUGCAGUGAGCAGAGAUCGCGCCACUGCCCUCCAACCAGGGUGACAGAGCGAGACUCCGUCUCAAAAAAAAGAAAAAAAGAAAAGAAAGAAAGAAAAGAAAAGAGACAAAAUGGCAGAGUCUGACCUUCGGACCUUCGGGGCACUCUGCUGGAAAAGCGAUGAUGGGCAUGUGCACCACUUCCUAAACACAUUGCGCAUGCUCACCUCCGGAGGGUAAGGAAGGCGCGGUGGGUGCGGGCAGCCCACCCCAAGGGAAGAAUCAUGGGAAAAGGGCCAGCCUAUAAAGUCCUAGGAUCAUCGCACUUGUCCUCGGUGCCCACUUGGGUCUCUUCCAAGUGUACUUUCCUUUCCUUUCUUUCCUGUUCUAAAGCAUUUAAAGAAACUUUUACUCCUGCUCUGAAACUUGCCUUGGGCUCCUUUUCUGCCUUAUGCCCCUCUGUCAAAUUCUUUCUCCUGAAGAGGCAAGAAUUGAGGUUGUUGCAGACCCAUACGGAUUCACCACCCGGUACCUUCCAUGGGAUACUUUACGCUGGUAACAUGUUCCCAUUUCACAAAUAAGGUUCAUGGAGGUUUGCCCAAAUGCAUGGGAAAUGUGAGGCUGGGACCCAAGGUGUGAGUGCAUUUUGCUCCUUCAAGUUACUGGUAACUUGGUUGGUAAAAGAAAUACUAAUUCUUUGCUUUCCUCAUUUACCCUCACUCCCUUCCCUAAGUUACUAUGUUCCCGGUUUUGCUUCCAGCAGCUUCUCACUCAGCUGCCAUGCAUUGACUUCCCUGUUGAUCCAGCCUACUGCGGACCCAAAUAUUCCUGUUGCCAGAUAGGAGGGAUGAGUAAUGGAGACUCCAGUCCUCAGAGACCUUGAUCAAGUAAAGCAAAAACCCCUUCCUCCACUUUCUUUGCAAGUGGCUAAACCCUUAGUCACUCUGGGAAGAAAAGUAAACUGAAAACUUGAAAAAGUCCCAAGACAGAAUCUAACUCCAUCCCCUGCCCCAGAUAAAAAGCAAGAUAGCACAACUAUAGCAACCUUUUAAGUCAAAUUAAAUGAGCUAAUAAAAAUCAGGCCUGUUCAAGUGCCCAAUUGAUUUAAACAUGAAGAUUGUCAGUUUCCAGCAUCACUGAUUCUAAUCCAACAACCCUCACCAUAGAGGUCUUCAUUCAGCCUGCUGUGUUUGGAGGUUUUGCUUAUUGGGUGUGUAUCUGUAAGGUAAAUCUUGACGAUUUCCUUACUACAGACAAUUAUCUGGCUGGAGAUGUC
rnacentral:lncRNA from 1 species